CCUCUACAUCACGACAGUCGUGGUGGAUGUGUACAAGUAUCAAAGUAUUUCCAGGAGGCUGAAGCAGAUUGAGCUGAAGGGGGAACACACCUACAGCGGUCUGAGAACCUGCAGCGUCCCCUCUGACUAUGACCGACUCCAGCCUCGACAGCCGAAAGCGAACGCCUCUCUUGAAGAUCA